rnacentral:rRNA from 1 species
AACGAACGCUGGCGGCAGGCUUAACACAUGCAAGUCGAACGCAUCCUUCGGGGUGAGUGGCAGACGGGUGAGUAACGCGUGGGAACGUGCCCUUUAGUUCGGGAUAACCCAGGGAAACUUGGGCUAAUACCGGAUACGUGCGAGAGCAGAAAGAUUUAUCGCUGAAGGAUCGGCCCGCGUCUGAUUAGUUAGUUGGUGGGGUAAUGGCCCACCAAGGCGACGAUCAGUAGCUGGUCUGAGAGGAUGAUCAGCCACAUUGGGACUGAGACACGGCCCAAACUCCUACGGGAGGCAGCAGUGGGGAAUAUUGGACAAUGGGCGCAAGCCUGAUCCAGCCAUGCCGCGUGAGUGAUGAAGGCCUUAGGGUUGUAAAGCUCUUUCGUCCGGGACGAUAAUGACGGUACCGGAAGAAGAAGCCCCGGCUAACUUCGUGCCAGCAGCCGCCGUAA